rnacentral:rRNA from 1 species
GGUAAAUGCGUGGCAGGAGGCGGGGGAAUAAGUAGGGUGCAAGCGUGAAUCGGAAUUACUGGGCGUAAAGCGCGCGCAGGCGGUUUGAUAAGUUAGAUGUGAAAGCCCCGGGCUCAACCUGGGAAUUGCAUUUGAAACUGUCCAGCUAGAGUCUUGUAGAGGGGGGUAGAAUUCCAGGUGUAGCAGUGAAAUGCGUAGAGAUCUGGAGGAAUACCGGUGGCGAAGGCGGCCCCCUGGACAAAUACUGACGCUCAGGUGCGAAAGCGUGGGGAGCAAACAGGAUUAGAUACCCCAGUAGUC